rnacentral:tRNA from 1 species
GAGGGUAUAGCUCAGUGGUAAAGUGCAUGCCUAGCAUGCUGUGAGGUCCUGGGUUCAAUCCCCAGUACCUCCA